GAUGAACGCUGGCGGCGUGCCUAAUACAUGCAAGUCGAGCGAACAGACGAGGAGCUUGCUCCUCUGACGUUAGCGGCGGACGGGUGAGUAACACGUGGAUAACCUACCUAUAAGACUGGGAUAACUUCGGGAAACCGGAGCUAAUACCGGAUAAUAUAUUGAACCGCAUGGUUCAAUAGUGAAAGACGGUUUUGCUGUCACUUAUAGAUGGAUCCGCGCCGCAUUAGCUAGUUGGUAAGGUAACGGCUUACCAAGGCAACGAUGCGUAGCCGACCUGAGAGGGUGAUCGGCCACACUGGAACUGAGACACGGUACAGACUCCUACGGGAGGCAGCAGUAGGGAAUCUUCCGCAAUGGGCGAAAGCUUGACGGAGCAACGCCGCGUGAGUGAUGAAGGUCUUCGGAUCGUAAAACUCUGUUAUUAGGGAAGAACAAAUGUGUAAGUAACUAUGCACGUCUUGACGGUACCUAAUCAGAAAGCCACGGCUAACUACGUG
rnacentral:rRNA from 1 species